rnacentral:rRNA from 1 species
UACGGAGGAUCCGAGCGUUAUCCGGAAUUAUUGGGUUUAAAGGGUGCGUAGGCGGCCAUUUAAGUCAGCGGUGAAAUUUUGCAGCUUAACUGUAACAGUGCCGUUGAUACUGUUUGGCUAGGAUUUGGUUGUAGUGUGCGGAAUGUGUGGUGUAGCGGUGAAAUGCUUAGGUAUCACACAGAACAUCGAUUGCGAAGGCAGCUCACAAAGCCAAGAUUGACGCUGAGGCACGAAAGUGUGGGGAUCAAACAGGAUUAGA